rnacentral:rRNA from 1 species
GGGAGCUUGCUGCUCGUCUUUAAUUCCAUGAAGUCCGAAAUUACUUCCAUGCUCGCCACCACGCUCGCCCCCGGUGUUUGCUCCUGAUCAUCCUCUACCGCUGCUUCCCAUGCUAACUCUGGGCCACCAAAGCUUCUUGCUACCUGAAACUAUUUCAUGCUCGCCACCAAACUCGCACUGGCGUUUGCUCCUGACCAUCCUCUGUUGCUUGCUAUAUGGGCCGCCAAAGCUUCUCGCUGCCUGUGCUCGCUGACUGAUUAGAUUCUUGCUGCCCAUGCUCUCCCUGUUGGAGCCGAUACUACUUCAUCUGGCUGCAUUGGGAACCGGACACUAUAUGAAGCAAAUUCUCCAAGCUUGGGGAGCAAAUUUUGGCCAGCAAUGUCGAAUCGAAUGCUGAUGGCAGAAACAAGGAGUUGGGAAAAAUAUAUGUUUUUGUUUGCAGGUUUGCUAUUUUAAGUCGAGCGGCAAAUUAUUUCAGUUCAGUUGAUUCACACUAUCAAGUUCAUCCAUUGAUGUACUUACAUCUCCACAGAUCUGCAACAACAAUAAUUGAAGUAUAAUAAAACUGUCUUGAUGACUCAUUUAUAAAGAUAUCAUUAUUCAUCACAUCUUUCCACACAAACGUCAGAGCCUGAAAAGUAAUUACCAAUCUUCAUAUUGAAGUAGUCUUUGCUUAUUAAGCACCAAACUAUUUUUGACACAUUUACCACAGUUUAAGUUGCUGCACAUGGCCCUGAUAGCAGACCCAGUUUUUAAUGUGGGUAUCACCAAUAUAUACCAUUCACACCCCGUUAUGAAAUGCAGCGUCCAGGUAAUUAGUGUUGUAAGGCUACCUUUAGGAGAGAUAUUUUUGGUUGUACUGCUAAAACUAAGCGGCGUGCCAUCCAGGUAGAAAAAAUAUACCUGAUGCACACUUGUGGGAAUUAAUUCAUAAAACCUUCAAUCAAGAUGAGUAUCUAUUGAAUCCCACAGCGAAGCAAAGCGUGGGCAUGUGACUAGUUUGUUCCAUUUUGCUUGUGAAGUAGUAUUGAAUCCAACCUGAGCUGAAAGUUCUUCUGUAUCAUCUGAUUAUUACCUGUCUUGCUUGCGGAGAGUCGAUCGAUGGAUUAAGAAGCCUCAUCCUUGGAACUCCAAGAUGAAGAAGGUGGCACUGAAAUGUAACAGUUGUGAUGAGCAUUUGCAAGAUUAGGGUGGCGCAUGCCUGAGAUUAAGAAGCUAUUUUGCUGAGACAGUGAGAUGGCCCCUAAUUAUUUUCUUCUUCUUCUUGAGAUGAUGGCUCCUAAUUAGCAGCUAGCUACAGAUAUGCGCAAAGGAGACAGGGAAAGAAAGGUACAUGUUGAUGAAGAUGCUGCUGAAAUUUGACAGUUGUGAUGAGCAUUUGCUACAUAUUAAGAAUCUUUGUCGCUGUGACGGCAUGUUUGUUGAUGGACGGAUGGAUACCAUUUCUAUAUAUCGUGUGUGACAUUCCCAUGUCAUUAUGAAUCCAUUAUGGUACUUUUAUUGUACUGAAAUUAUAGUCUCUUGAGGUGUGGUUGAUCCAAAUACAUGAGUGAAAAAUC